AUUGAACGCUGGCGGAAUGCUUUACACAUGCAAGUCGAACGGCAGCACGGACUUCGGUCUGGUGGCGAGUGGCGAACGGGUGAGUAAUGUAUCGGAACGUGCCCAGUCGUGGGGGAUAACGUAGUGAAAAUUACGCUAAUACCGCAUACGAUCUAUGGAUGAAAGCGGGGGAUCGCAAGACCUCGCGCGAUUGGAGCGGCCGAUAUCAGAUUAGGUAGUUGGUGGGGUAAAGGCCCACCAAGCCAACGAUCUGUAGCUGGUCUGAGAGGACGACCAGCGACACUGGAGCUGAGACACGGUACAGACUCCUACGGGAGGCAGCAGUGGGGAAUUUUGGACAGUGGGCGAAAGCCUGAUCCAGGCAUUCCGCGUGCAGGAUGAAGGCCCUCGGGUUGUAAACUGCUUUUGUACAGAACGAAAAGGUUUCUACUAAUACUAGGAGCUCAUGACGGUACUGUAAGAAUAAGCACCGGCUAACUACGUGCCAGCCGCCGCCGUAA
rnacentral:rRNA from 1 species